rnacentral:rRNA from 1 species
GACGAACGCUGGCGGCGUGCUUAACACAUGCAAGUCGAACGGAAAGGCCCUGCUUUUGUGGGGUGCUCGAGUGGCGAACGGGUGAGUAACACGUGAGUAACCUGCCCUUGACUUUGGGAUAACUUCAGGAAACUGGGGCUAAUACCGGAUAGGAGCUCCUGCUGCAUGGUGGGGGUUGGAAAGUUUCGGCGGUUGGGGAUGGACUCGCGGCUUAUCAGCUUGUUGGUGGGGUAGUGGCUUACCAAGGUUUUGACGGGUAGCCGGCCUGAGAGGGUGACCGGCCACAUUGGGACUGAGAUGCGGCCCAGACUCCUACGGGAGGCAGCAGUGGGGAAUAUUGCACAAUGGGCGGAAGCCUGAUGCAGCAACGCCGCGUGCGGGAUGACGGCCUUCGGGUUGUAAACCGCUUUCGCCUGUGACGAAGCGUGAGUGACGGUAAUGGGUAAAGAAGCACCGGCUAACUACGUG